ACAAAGUAAUGUCCUUGCUAGACAGGUAAAUAUCAUAAACCUUUUUUUUUAUUCGCAUAAAGAUGUUGAUACUCUUUUUUGUUGAUAUGAGUAGUUUUUUUAUAGUGAUGAUAGUAUACUUUAUAAACUUGUUCUUUUUUGUUGAAUUAGCUAUUGUGAUUUGUGUCAAGUUGCAGAUUUGUUUUCUUAAGUAUCAAGUUCUUUAUAUUGUGAUUGUGUCAAGUAACUUAAAGGAAUUCCUGUUUGCUUAACUAAACAUUCCCCUCCACCCUUUUCCUUUUUUUCAUACUUCACAUUGAACCUAACUGCAAUGACAUCCUCAAUACAUAGGAGUUAAAAACGUGAUUUGAUCCAUGUUUUGACUUUUGUGUAGUCAAUAUUCAUGGUGAUGUAUGUAUCUUUGAUCUGUACCAAAUGUGCUAUUCAUUUUAUCUUAUUUUCUUUCUGUUCCGAUGUAUCCAUCUUUAAUAUGUAACUAUCUAGUGCAUAUAUUUCAUUUUGAAGUUUCUUAACUUGAAGCGUGUAGUACAAAGUAGAAACAGAACACAGUUACAAGAACUAGAAACAAAUCUCAAUAGUUUAGCAAGAAGAAAAACAGAACACAAAGGAAGAUGCACCAAACCAGAAAACUAGUUUUUGAAUAGUCACUUUUUUGAUAUUGUAUUCACUACAACAUUUUUUAGCACCAAAUCAAUUCAAGUCUUGCAUAAUGCCUUGAAUGAACUUCGAUUAUGUUAUGUCACAUAUAGAUCUUAUUGUGUACAAUCCAAGCAAGGAAAUACUAAGGUUUAUUAUAUUAUAUUAUUUUAUACAGUUUCUUAUUUAUUUGUUGAAAUUUUUGUUGUUUUGAGGUUGUUGAGUAUUCUACUCACAAUGCAUACAUCUUCUGGAAAGGCUACAAUGUCAUUGUCGACUUCUUUAUGGAAGAAGUAUGAGGCUGCUUGGCAUGCUGGAAACUGGAAUUUUUCCUUGCUUUACAUGGGAGAUAAUUCACAGAGUGAGCAAAACUAAAAGUGGCCAUUUCAAUGAAAAUCUGCACAGGUACAAUGAUGAGUUAAGAUUUCUUUUUUACUUCAGUAUAAUUCUACCAUCUAUAUAGUAGAACUUCUGGGGCAUAGUUUAUCUCUACUACAAGUACUUGCUCCACUAUAUAACUGAGAUGGUCAUACUAGACUUGAGGCUUUUUAUUGUUAAAGAAAUAUUUCUUU